rnacentral:rRNA from 1 species
AUUGAACGCUGGCGGCAGGCCUAACACAUGCAAGUCGAGCGAGCGGCGGACGGGUGAGUAAUGUAUGGGGAUCUGCCCGAUAGAGGGGGAUAACUACUGGAAACGGUGGCUAAUACCGCAUAAUAUCGGAUGAACCCAUAGGGGAUUAGCUAGGAGGUGGGGUAAAGGCUCACCGAGGCGACGAUCUCUAGCUGGUCUGAGAGGAUGAUCAGCCACACUGGGCCGUAGACACGGCCCAGACUCCUACGGGAGGCAGCAGUGGGGAAUAUUGCACAAUGGGUGCAAGCCUGAGGCAGCCAUGCCGCGUGUAUGAAGAAGGCCGUAGGGUUGUAAAGUACUUUCAGCGGGGAGGCGUUACCCGCAGAAGAAGCACCGGCUAACUCCGUGCCAGCCGCCGCGGUAAUUC